UGCAGUUUAGUUAAAAGCCCCUCUCCCAACCUUUGUUAUUACAAAGGUUGGGAGAGGGGCUUUUAACUAAACUGC